rnacentral:rRNA from 1 species
UACGUAGGGCGCAAGCGUUGUCCGGAAUUAUUGGCGUAAAGAGCUCGUAGGCGGUUUGUCGCGUCUGCUGUGAAAACCUAAGGCUCAACCUUGGGCUUGCAGUGGGUACGGGCAGACUAGAGUGCGGUAGGGGUGACUGGAAUUCCUGGUGUAGCGGUGGAAUGCGCAGAUAUCAGGAGGGAACACCCGGGUGGCGAAGGC